rnacentral:rRNA from 1 species
AUUGAACGCUGGCGGCAUGCCUUACACAUGCAAGUCGAACGGUAACAGGUCUUCGGAUGCUGACGAGUGGCGAACGGGUGAGUAAUACAUCGGAACGUGCCCGAUCGUGGGGGAUAACGGAGCGAAAGCUUUGCUAAUACCGCAUACGAUCUUCGGAUGAAAGCAGGGGACCGCAAGGCCUUGCGCGGACGGAGCGGCCGAUGGCAGAUUAGGUAGUUGGUGGGAUAAAAGCUUACCAAGCCGACGAUCUGUAGCUGGUCUGAGAGGGCGACCAGCCACACUGGGACUGAGAAACGGCCCAGACUCCUACGGGAGGCAGCAGUGGGGAAUUUUGGACAAUGGGCGAAAGCCUGAUCCAGCCAUGCCGCGUGCAGGAUGAAGGCCUUCGGGUUGUAAACUGCUUUUGUACGGAACGAAAAGCCUCUUUCUAAUAAAGAGAGGUCAUGACGGUGCCGUAAGAAUAAGCACCGGCUAACUACGUGCCAGCCGCCGCGGUAAGAC